GCAUAUCAUAGGCGAGAAAAGAAACUACAAGGGAUUCCCCUUAGUAACGGCGAAGUGAAGCGGGAUGAGCUCAAAUUUAAAAUCUGGCUGGGUUUACUAGUCCGAAUUGUAGUUUAUAGAAGCGUUUUCGGUGGCAGCCUGGGUAUAAAUCCUUUGGAAUAGGGUAUCAUAGAGGGUGAGAAUCCCGUCUUUGACUCAGUGCAUGCUACUAUGUGAUACGUUUUCAAAGAGUCGAGUUGUUUGGGAAUGCAGCUCAAAAUGGGUGGUAAAUUUCAUCUAAAGCUAAAUAUUGGCGAGAGACCGAUAGCGAACAAGUACCGUGAGGGAAAGAUGAAAAGAACUUUGAAAAGAGAGUUAAACAGUGCGUGAAAUUGUUGAAAGGGAAACGCUUGACACCAGUCAUGCGAGUGGAAAAUCAGUCUUUUGCAAUGGGGAGUUGUGGGCGUUCAGACCGCAAGGCUGGCGUUUGCUUCAUCUUUGUUGUAAGUGAUGCACUUUUUCAUUUGCAGGUCAACAUCAGUUUGCUUUGCUGGACAAAACCCCAAGGGAAGGUGGCAGCUUAGGCUGUGUUAUAGCCCUGGGGCGAUACAGUGGAGUGGACUGAGGUUUUCGCAGUGUGUGCUCUCUGGGCAAGGCUGACUGGGUGCUAUGGGAUCGUUCGGCGUACAAUGCAUGCAUUUUGCGUCGUGUCUUUUUCAUACUCGCUCAACUCGGCUCUUCCACACUUAGGAUGUUGACUUAAUGGUUUUAAUCGACCCGUCUUGAAACACGGACCAAGGAGUCUAACAUAUAUGCAAGUGUUUGGGUGGCAAACCCAUGCGCGUAAUGAAAGUGAACGUAGGUGCCAUCCGCAAGGUGCAGCAUCGACCGAUCUUGA
rnacentral:rRNA from 1 species